rnacentral:rRNA from 1 species
CCUACGGGAGGCAGCAGUGGGGAAUCUUGCACAAUGGGCGACAGCCUGAUGCAGCAACGCCGCGUGAAGGACGAAGGGUUUCGGCUCGUAAAAUUCUAUCCACAGGGACGAAAGAAUUGACGGUACCUGAAUAAGAAGUCCCGGCUAACUACGUGCCAGCAGCCGCGGUAAUACGUAGGGGGCAAGCGAUAUCUGGAAUUACUGGGUGUAAAGGGUGAGUAGGCGGCAUGUUAAGCCUGAUGUGAAAGCCUUGAGCUUAACCCGAGAAUUGCAGUUGGAACUAUCAAUGGAGAGGACAGGGGAGGAAAGCGGAAUUCCUAGGGUAGCGGUGAAAUGCGUAGAUAUUAGGAAGAACACCAGUGGCGAAGGCGACUUUCUGGACUGAAACUGACGCUGAGGCACGAAAGCGUGGGGAGCGAACAGGAUUAGAUACCCGGGUAGUC